AACAAACAAGGUAACUUUAAAAAAUAUUUUUCAGCUUGUAAUUCCCUGUUAACUCAAUCACCAAAACAUUUGUAAUCAACUGAAUUCAACUGUGUAGAAAAAUCAGCUUGCACUCACUAUACACUGGUGCAAAAAGUGCAAAUUUUCAAGGUUGUUUCAACACCUUUCAAUAGCAGUCCAAAACACUCUUAUUUGAGUUCAAAGUUCUUCAAACAAGCUCUAAUGUCCAAACCCAAUUUCAGGUUCACAAAAUAUUGUAGAAAAUACAAAUAAUGCUUAGAGAACUUGUAUUACAUCAACAGAUUUCAUUUAAAUCCAAAAUUCGAUGAUUCAAACUAGCUGGCAGGUUCGCUAUUCAAUGUCUUCUCAAAACUCAAAACUUCAGCAACACCUUAAGCACUAAAUUCAGCAGCAGUAGGCAUAGAAUUGUUUGUCCCAGAUUGAUGACCUCAACUGUAGAAACAACGCAUUACAAUCACAGCAAUAAUGAGUCAGAAUAACCGCAAAGUACACCUGAAUAGUGCAGGAUCUGCUUUCAAAAAAACAGCUCAAAACUUGAAUUUCAAUAGUGUAUUGUUGGCAUAUAAACUGAAGUAACGCAAGUGAAUUAACUGAAGCAAAAACCUUUUCAAAAUUCCCUCAACUGUUAAGAAAAACGAUAGUAACAACAAUCAAUUAAAGAAAUGUGAAAAUCUCCAUUGUUGAGCGAAAAAUGAACAAUUCAGGGCUGUGGACAACAAGUAUGAAAUCCUUUUCAGCAACAGAAAACAAGCAACAAAUUAUUUUCCAGCAAACAUGCAACUUCUGUCAGCAGAUUCUACACAACUUGACAUUAGUUUAUGUAACAAGAGCACUCAAUUCAACAAGGAAAACAUUUUAGAAGUAAAAACCAAAUUUCAAGCUAUCACUGCUAAACUCGAGCACAAUCUCAACAUACACAAAUUUUCGGCAGAUUAAGCUUACUGUAUGCUCAACCAAAUCACAAUUCAAGCUGCUCAAUCUCUAAUCCAACUGAAUCCCCUCUAUUAAACUCAAUGACAACAACAACUAUUAUAAACCAAUGGUAACAAGGUUCAAGCGAGGAGAAAUUCAGCUAUCAAUUCACUCCAGAAACUUUUCUAUAAAUAGUGGCAAAAUUUCAACAAACAAGCUUCAGAAUUUCGAAGUCAUAGCACAAAGAUAACUGGUGUACAAUGCAUGAUUUACUUUACAACAUGGCCCCACCAACAAUUCAUAGAUUGAGUUAAAAUCACAAAAUAGUGCUCCAACAAACAAAAACUGAUCUAAACAGAACUUUCGUCAGCAUAAAAGAAGUUUUACAAUAGAAUUCCAACUUGAACUCUAAGAAUUUCAAUAGUAGAGUCCAUUGACACAACUCAAUUCACACAAUUUCCAACAAACAACUUCUGAAUUCUAAAACAAUAGAAUUCCAACUUGAACUCUAAGAAUUUCAAUAGUAGAGUCCAUUGACACAACUCAAUUCACACAAUUCCCAACAAGCAGCUUCUUAAUUCUAAAACUAACCUGUGUGGCUAAAAGUGAUUAGAAGUGCAAAAUUUGGCUAUGACCCUGCAAAUCCGAGAACCUAAGACUUAAAAGGAAGAUCGGACCCUAUGUGGGUUGCCUACGUAUCACGCCUCGAAAGAUGAGAAUCAGGUUUGCGUAGUUCGGGAAAUUUGGAUACGGGCAAGAAUAAAAUAAACAACUAAUUUGGAGAAAACAUAUUUUUUUAGCUUUUCUUGUAAGAUGUUGAAAUAUGCAAAAUCUUUUGUAUUUUCUUUUUCGCUCUUUUUUUAUUUUUUCAAAAAUAAUAAAAAGUUCAAAAUUUUUUUUUUUGAAUUUUUCAUGUAUAUCUAUCUUUUCCUUUUUUCAAAUAAAAAAGUAACAAAAACAUAACUAGAUCCUGCUUGUUUUAUUUUCGCACUUCACCCUCUCUUUUUUUUCAUUGUUUUUCUCUUUUUUUUUUCAUUUUUUCAUUUACCCUCAGCUGUCAUUGGUUCUCCAAAUGACCCUUUUACCCUUGAAUAAAUUCAACAUGUAGCAUAUAUGAUGGAUCAAGAUGGUCUUUUAUUUUGGGCUACACAUGUCCUAGACGGACCCAAUCCCCGCGUUGAGUCCCCUAAGUCAAAUGCACAAUGCAGAUAAGCGUUCCUACUAGGGAUCCGAUAUGAGGUUGUGUGUUUCUAAGUUUAAAUCCUGAGAUUAUGAUCUAGACAUGGGAUACCCGAGGGAACACUUGGGGCCGAGGAGGGGGCGACAUACCGAGAGCACUAAAGUCUGCCCGGCCUUGUUGCUUGCCCAACCUCACUCUAUUUGGUAUAACUUCUACAGAAAAAGCGGGCUACGCAAACGUAUGCACCAUUUUCCAGAAGACUCAAAAGGGGUGGUGUAAGGAGACAAUCAUAUACAAUUCAACAAUAUUAAAGCGAUAAACAGUUAGCAUUUUAGCACAAAGGUUCAAAAAAGUACAAUAAUAUCAACUAUAAAUAAUCCAAGUAAAAAUCAUGAAAAAGCUCGAAUUCUUGAGCCCUGAACCAGGGUAUCUGGGAGCAAGUCCACAGUAGAGUCGAUAGAGCUGUCACACCUCCUUUUGCAUCACUACAUGGUAUAAUAAAUGGAGUUUUUUCCAAUUUAAGUGACAAUCGAAACGGGAUUAAUUAAAAAUCAGAGUCGUCACCUGGGAAAAUUUAUGGUAUCCCAAGUCAUCGGUUUAAAAUCUCGAAUCCAGGAAAGAAUGACUUUGUUAUUAUAGUCUGCGAAUCAGAAAUCCGGGUAAGGAAUUCUGUUAUCCCUGGAGAAGGUGUUAGGUACUUCCGAAUUUCGUGGUUCUAAAACUGUUGCUUUGAUUCUACUUCGCAUGUUAUAUUGUUUAAUUACUAAUUUUUAAACCUAUGUGCUUUUGCUUCUUUUACCACUUUUAAUUAGAAAAUCAUCUUAAAACGGGUUAAUCAUACAUAUACGUGCUUGUUUGGCGUGUCAAAAAUCAUGUCAUGCGAACGUGUCCAUAAUUAAUAACGCAUUAUUAUUUUUAAAGAAAAGUUUGGGCCGAAGUUGCGCGAACGCAUACUCCAAUUUUGUUUUUAUAAGUGUAAUUGUGUUACGCGAACGUAUAUGCAAUCAACACUAGUGUUUUAAGCGGCCCUAAAGUGUAUUUCUACGAAAUAUUAUAUUUUACUUAACCUAAGAAAUUUCUAAAAGGCCAUAUGUGAUUCUGAUGAAGUUACGCAAACUAAAAUAAUUUAAAAACUUGAAACCUACUUCAUUAUUUAAGAAAAGAGGGGUCGAAGUUGCGCGAACACAUACUUAAAAUUAAUUUAGAAUCAUGGUUGUGCAAUUUUCUUAUACUAAAGUUCGUAUAUCCCUUCUGGGAUCUAAAAUAGGUUUUGGCUAGCCUAUUCCUUUACUCGACUCUCGUAAUCCUAAUCCAAUGCAGCAGUGAUAAUGGGUAAUGCUUGAGAGAAACUAAGAAGCGCGAUGAAGGGGCAAUCAAGGAAAACUGGGCGUGGGAAAGCUAACAAGUUCCCGCUGAUUUUUGGACCAUCAUGGAAAUAACACUAUUCUAUGAUUUCAUAAAAAACAGUAAAAUAGGAGAAAACCAAACAAACAAAUCAAACAUAUGCACUAUUUUCAUAUUAAAAAUCAAACAAAUAGUAACACAGACAGAUAUGAAACUUGAAACAACUGAUCGGAUCGAAACCACGACGCCAAUGACCUUGACAAGAAUUCAAAUCGUAAACGCCAACAGAAAUGUAACGCAAUGACAGUUGCACUUACUUUUCGAGAUUUAAUCAAAUUUCGGACAUAAAACAGAGAUAUAAAGGAGAGGGGAUUGACCUGAGCAAUAUUACUUUAACUAGUUUGAUUUGCAAAGCAAUUACAAGCCGAAUCCAAACUGUAACAGCAACGAAGAAUUCGACCAUGAACCUCGGACGGCGACGAACCAGCUUCAAACCUCAAACUCGCAUCCAUUUUUGAAACCAAAUCCGAAAUCAGAGAUGAUAAACAACACUUUUGAGAAAACGACCACAUGUAAUCGGAACCUCAACGACAAGAGUUUGGGUUUGCUGCUAUUAAUAACGGACGAUGAGAGAACGAGAACUGCCGGUUUGAACCUCUGCUUCGCCAUUCAAUAAAAGGCUAAUAACGGACGAUGGGAGAACGAGAACUGCCGGUUUGAACCUCUGCUUCGCCAUUCAAUAAAAGGCUAUUGAAACUACAUGUUUUCCGGUGAGCUGGGUUUGGGUUGAAGAGGCAGAACAUUGGAUAUGGUUGGGUCGUUUGGAGAAGAUGAUCGAGAGGGGUGGGUUCGAAAAUUGUACAGCUGCGCAACUUUUUAGGCGUGUCUCUCUUCGUGCGUAUAGGCGUGUUUAUCCGCCUCUAUUCUAUCGUGUAUAUCCGUGUGUUG
rnacentral:lncRNA from 1 species